GCAUCGAUAGCUCAGUGGCAGAGUGGUGGGGCGUUGAUCCAUGCGGUCCGGGUUAGAAGCCCGGUCGAUGCA